ACGGAAGGCAGCAGUGAGGAAUAUUGGUCAAUGGGCGGGAGCCUGAACCAGCCAAGUAGCGUGAGGGAUGACGGCCCUAUGGGUUGUAAACUUCUUUUGACAGGGAAUAAAGUGAGCCACGUGUGGUUCAUUGCAUGUACCUGUGGAAUACGGAUCGGCUAACUCCGUGCCAGCAGCCGCAGUAAUACGGAGGAUCCGAGCGUUAUCCGGAUUUAUUGGGUUUAAAGGGAGCGUAGGCGGGAUGUCAAGUCAGCUGUGAAAUGUAGUCGCUCAACGUCUGCACUGCAGUUGAAACUGGUGUUCUUGAGUGCGUAAGAGGCAGGUGGAAUUCGUCGUGUAGCGGUGAAAUGCAUAGAUAUGACGAAGAACUCCGAUUGCGAAGGCAGCCUGCUGGGCCGCUACUGACGCUGAAGCUCGAAGGUGCGGGUAUCAAACAGGAUUAGAUACCCUGGUA
rnacentral:rRNA from 1 species